rnacentral:tRNA from 1 species
UGGCUCAGAUGGUGAAGCGUCUGUCUGCAAUGCAGAAGACCUGGGUUCGAUCCCUG